UCAAGCGCGUAUUCAUUUUAGAGGGAGGAAGAAGAACGAAAUCCAAAUUUAAAGCUCUCUGAUUCAAUCUCUUGUAUUCAAUUUGUGCUUUCAUUUUCGUCCUCUCUUUCCCUUUAUCAUAUUUCCUUUUUCAAAGGAAGGCGCGUAUUCGUUUCAGGGGGGAAGUUAAGCUUAUCCAUUUCAGAGGGAGGAAGAAGAACGAAAUCCAAAGUUGAAGCUCUCUGAUUCAAUCUCUUGUAUUCAAUUUGUACAUUCACUAACUAUGAAGAUGAUAUAAAUGGCCAUUUUAGGUAUUGUUAUAUGUUUGGAGCAUCAAUUAAGGGUUGGAAGCAUUGUAGGCCCUAAUAUAUCGGUUGAUGGCACGUUCUUGAAAUGUAAAUAUGUUGGGACUCUUUUAACAGCUUCAACAAUUGAUGUUUUCUUCAUCCAUUGGGUCCCACAAUCCGGUUCUUAGUUCAUAGGAUAGUAGGUCAAUUCUAGUAAUGGACCGGAAGAGUUCGGGUCGAGAUUCAGCGAGGAAAAGCGUUGUUCGGGAGCUACAAAAGUUGUAUCCCAUCCCUUUUAUUUACUGUUUUUUCCUUCAAUUUGCAUACUUAUUUCCUUUAAAUUAAAAGCAAUUAUAGUGUAAUUAGGUCCUUUUUCCGCUGCGUAUAUCUCGUGUUCCAUCAUGUGGUCAAUCACUUUUUGAUAAAUUUGGCCUCUAAAUCAUGUAGUUGUCAUGUUUAGGAUUUAGUGGAGAUUCCAUGUGCUCAUGCUUGUGCUGUUAUUCGUGGGCUAAAUUUAGAUAUAUAUGAUUUUGUGUCAGACUACUAUUUUUCCAGUACACUAUUAUCAACCUAUAAAGGAUCAGUUUAUCCUAUUGGCAAUCAUUUUGAUUGGAGAUCUGUUGAUGUUGGUGUGAAUGUGUUACCUCCAAUAGUUAAAUGUCUGACUAGAUGACCACCUAAAUAAAGAAUAUUAUCAAUUAGUGAAAAGAAAAUGAGCUCGAAGUGCAAUCGAUGUCAUCGUCAUGGCCAUAGUUGUAUGACAUGCAAAUUGCCACCGGUUGUUUAAUGAAGAAGCUUGUUUUGUAAUUGAUGUUUGUCAUCAAUUUAUCAAUGAUAGUGAGACAGCUGAUGUAUUUCACCAAUGUAUCCAUUAGAUUGUAGUUGUUGUUUGU